rnacentral:rRNA from 1 species
UACGGAGGGAGCUAGCGUUGUUCGGAAUUACUGGGCGUAAAGCGCACGUAGGCGGCUUUGUAAGUUAGAGGUGAAGGCCCGGGGCUCAACCCCGGAACGGCUUUCGAAACUGCUGAGCUAGAGUACAGAAGGGGCAACCGGAAUUCCCAGUGUAGCGGUGAAAUGCGUAGAUAUUGGGAAGAACACCUGAGGCGAAGGCGGGUUGCUGGGCUGAUACUGACGCUGAGGCGCGAAAGCUAGGGGAGCGAACGGG